GGCGGUCGCUUUGCGAAAGCAAAGAGGAAAGUCCGGACUCCGCAGGGCAGGGAGUCCUCCAUAAAACGAGGAUGUCAUGGACCAUAUUCCAUGAGAAGGAAAGCGCAGCAGAAAACAAACCGCCGGAGCAAUCCGGCAAGGGUGAAAAGGCGGGGUAAGAGCCCGCCGCGGUUUCAAGAGAUUGAGCCGGCAGUGCAAGCCCCUCCCGGAGCAAGGCCAAAUAGGGAAUGAGUCGCUGCCCGCGACGCUUGAAUUCCGGGUUCUGGCCGCAUAGACAGAUGAUCGCCCCCCGCAAGGGGACAGAAUCCGGCUUAUGCCGCAUCU
rnacentral:RNase_P_RNA from 1 species